rnacentral:rRNA from 1 species
CCAAUAUACCGGUUCUCGUUAGAUCACCGAAGUCAAGCAUCAUUGGGCGCGGUCAGUACUUGGGUGGGUGACCACCUGGGAACACCGCGUGCCGUU